GCUUUCUUGGCCAAAAGCACAAACUGCAUCGCAUGUGUGUUGGUAACUCUAUCUUUGGCCUGCAGCAUUUCCGACCAAUUUAUUAGAAAUUAAUCGAGCAUUUAGAAAGAAGCGAAAACAGCCCUGCAAAAAGGCAAAAAAAAAUCGGAAAAAAAUCGCAAGAUAUACGAUUCAAUUCUGAGAAUUCUGGGCUGGUCGAGUCAAAAAUGCCGCCGCUUCCAAAGGUUUUGAUGCAACGCGCGUGAACACACAACUUUCUGAUUCCUGACUCCUGACUCCUGCCUGCUGCCUCCUCUGAUUUUGGCCACGUCUACGGUUUCUGCCCCCCACCAUCAUCCUUGCUCGAUUCCUGGAAACUGCAGGCCUUUCUUUCGUCGUAUCCCGGCAUCGCCUUCAUAAGCGAAACACCUGAGCUCGCCCAACUUCGACGCCUCAAAAAGUCAUUACUUUAAUCGAAUUCGCAUUUCCCGAAAUGAACGUUGGCCGCAGGACUCAACUGCAACGCCUCCCGCGAGCCCCGCAAGGAUAACAACGAAUUUCUCAUAAACUUCUGAGGGCGAAGGGUGCGAGGGUCAGUGCAGAAUGUCCGCCAAACAUGCAAUUAAGUCGUUAAUACUUCAUCGAUUUAAUACACGCGGACAGGAGCAGGAUACAAGAGGAUAUCAAGGGGAUACAGGAUACCGCGGACGCAGCGAGGAUUAAAGCAUUAGCAAAUCGAGGAUGAGCUGGAAAGAGGGGAAAAACGGAAGCGGAAGUGGCGAUAGACGCAGGACGAUGGCAGACAUUUGAUUAGAGAUAUGCAAUUACGAUAUACAAGUUAAACAAACCAAGGGAUAUUCGCAGAUGCCUAUGCGAUGCGCAGCGAUAUGCGUUCAACAUUUGAACAUUUGAUUAAAAACGCAAAUAGAUUUUGAAGCUCACCCCUUCCCUCCGCCAUAAUCCUCUAUGUGCAUAAAAAAUUAACCAACAACGAUGCUCAGCGCUAAAAAGGAGAAAAAUCAACCGAGGGAAACGGAAAAGCGCGGACAUUUUUUAGGCAAAUACGGAGGACCAGCAGCAAUUCAUCAGAGGAACGACGCUUUUUUGUAUCAUCCGUGGGCUCAACUCAUCUCCCACCUGUAAUAAAAAUCAUAACCGGGAGGCGUGGCACCAGACACCGACGCACAUAUUGAACUAACGACCAGGUGGGCGGCGGGUGGUUGCGAUGCUAAAGGAAAAACGGGGGGGGGGGAGGCCACCGCCCGCAUGUCUGUGUAAAAAGGUAAAAACCAAUCAAGAGCAUCAAUAAAAGGCACGUCAAUCAGCGUGUGGCGAGGCAAGGUAGGCUCCAGCCAUUUUCCUCCUCCUCGGAAAAACUGCUGCUCAACAAGCACGAAAAAAUCAUAUUUCCUGGUCCUGGCCAACAUGCCUGCUUGUGUGUGUGUUUUGGCCUUUUGUCUAGCAUUGGCAACGCGGUUUUAGUUCAGUCAAGCUGUCAUAUCGACGCUUUUGCAUGCCAGACGAUGCCAACCGAGCCUCAGACUCUGGAAAACUGGGAAAACUGGGAAUCAAACUCAAACUCGAGCGGCCAAAUUCAGGACCCGGUUGCUGGCCAGACUCGCUGGCUAUCGGCCACAAAAUCCUGCUGCCUCCUUUGGAGCCCUUCCUGCGGUUAUUUGAUGGUUACAUAUCAUGAUUUUUCAAUAAAUUCAACGU